rnacentral:rRNA from 1 species
GAUGAACGCUGGCGGCGUGCCUAAUACAUGCAAGUAGAACGCUGAAGGAAGGAGCUUGCUCUUUCCGGAUGAGUUGCGAACGGGUGAGUAACGCGUAGGUAACCUGCCUGGUAGCGGGGGAUAACUAUUGGAAACGAUAGCUAAUACCGCAUAACAGUAGAUGUUGCAUGAUAUCUACUUAAAAGGUGCAAUUGCACCACUACCAGAUGGACCUGCGCUGUAUUAGCUAGUUGGUGAGGUAACGGCUCACCAAGGCGACGAUACAUAGCCGACCUGAGAGGGUGAUCGGCCACACUGGGACUGAGACACGGCCCAGACUCCUACGGGAGGCAGCAGUAGGGAAUCUUCGGCAAUAGACGGAAGUCUGACCGAGCAACGCCGCGUGAGUGAAGAAGGUUUUCGGAUCGUAAAGCUCUGUUGUAAGAGAAGAACGAGUGUGAGAGUGGAAAGUUCACACUGUGACGGUAUCUUACCAGAAAGGGACGGCUAACUACGUG